GACUCAAUCACUUAAGUGUCCAAGUCUCAAUUUCUGUUCAGGUCAUGAUCUCAGGGUUGUGAGAUCUUCCCCCCAU